UCUUCUGAACAAGCAAGGGAAGUGGUUUCUUGAGGCAGAAUCUAUCCCAGUGAAGAUGCUAUGAA
rnacentral:pre_miRNA from 1 species